rnacentral:lncRNA from 1 species
CUUGAUCUGACUUCCCUUAGCUGCAUCAGGUAGCAAAGGGAUUUAAGUCAAACUGACACUGGUUGGAGUGGUUCCCACAGAUAAAACUGUCUGGCUAUGCUGGCACUGAGAGGAAAAGGAUAUAUUUGUAUACCAUUAAUGUUUUAUAUCUCUAGACUUUUCCUCCUUCUCCCUUCAAGAUCAGCGACGGUGACCAUUGUUCAGAGCCUACAUAAAGCCUUUCAACAAUACAACUUACUACAGUCAUUUUAAAAGAAAUCGUGGAGCAUAGGUGCUCCUCUGUCAGGAACUUCCGGGAGUCAAUUGCUGCAUUAACUGCAUUUGAUAGUAUGCAAAUCCCACCAUGGAUAUAUACGCAAUUACAAUUCCUAUGAGGUUAAUGAAGAAGCUGAAGAGACACUGGUUUUAAAUUGGAACAGGAAUGAAGGUAAAUAGCAAAGAUGUCACAGAAAGGAAAGAGCAUGCCAGGCCACCCCAUCACUGAGCAGGGUAUCACAGUGCAGAGACAAGUCCCGACACCAGAUCCCAGCGCUCUCUGCCAGCUGUCUGCCUGCAGGCAUCCUCCUGCCAGGAGCCAGAGUCAACCUGCCUGCCCUGCCCCACUGCUCCUGUGGCCCGGAAAAGAGGGAGGGUCAGCCCAGAGACAUUGCCUUCAAACACUAAGACUGUGAUGACUCGCACAGCUCCACCUGCCCUCAUAGGCGAGAAAAGCAUGCUCAACACAGGAUGCCUAAUGUGAGGCAUCCAUUUCUAAUCCGAACACUGUGCUUUACACUAGAAUUAGGCUUCUGAACAUCUAGUUCUAGAUGUAAGUACAAACUGAA